AUUGAACGCUGGCGGCAGGCCUAACACAUGCAAGUCGAACGGUAACAGGAAACAGCUUGCUGUUUCGCUGACGAGUGGCGGACGGGUGAGUAAUGUCUGGGAAACUGCCUGAUGGAGGGGGAUAACUACUGGAAACGGUAGCUAAUACCGCAUAACGUCGCAAGACCAAAGAGGGGGACAUUCGGGCCUCUUGCCAUCGGAUGUGCCCAGAUGGGAUUAGCUAGUAGGUGGGGUAACGGCUCACCUAGGCGACGAUCCCUAGCUGGUCUGAGAGGAUGACCAGCUACACUGGAACUGAGACACGGUCCAGACUCCUACGGGAGGCAGCAGUGGGGAAUAUUGCACAAUGGGCGCAAGCCUGAUGCAGCCAUGCCGCGUGUAUGAAGAAGGCCUUCGGGUUGUAAAGUACUUUCAGCGGGGAGGAAGGGAGUAAAGUUAAUACCUUUGCUCAUUGACGUUACCCGCAGAAGAAGCACCGGCUAACUCCGUGCCAGCCGCCGCUGUAA
rnacentral:rRNA from 1 species